GAUGAACGCUAGCUACAGGCUUAACACAUGCAAGUCGAGGGGCAGCAUGAAAGGAACUUCGGUUCUUUUUGAUGGCGACCGGCGCACGGGUGCGUAACGCGUAUCGAACCUGCCUCAUACUCGGGGAUAGCCUUGCGAAAGUAAGAUUAAUACCCGGCGGUCUCGGAUGGCCGCAUGACUGUCCGAGUGAAGAUUUAUCGGUAUGAGAUGGCGAUGCGUCCCAUUAGCUUGUUGGUGGGGUAACGGCUCACCAAGGCAUCGAUGGGUAGGGGUUCUGAGAGGAAGGUCCCCCACAUUGGAACUGAGACACGGUCCAAACUCCUACGGGAGGCAGCAGUGAGGAAUAUUGGUCAAUGGACGAAAGUCUGAACCAGCCAAGUAGCGUGCAGGAUGACGGCCCUCUGGGUUGUAAACUGCUUUUAGUUGGGAAUAAAAAGAGGGACGUGUCCCUUAUUGUAUGUACCAUCAGAAAAAGGACCGGCUAAUUCCGUGCCAGCAGCCGCGGUAAUACGGAAGGUCCAGGCGUUAUCCGGAUUUAUUGGGUUUAAAGGGAGCGCAGGCGGCGGCGUAAGUCAGUUGUGAAAUCGUGCGGCUUAACCGUGCAAUUGCAGUUGAUACUGCGUCGCUUGAGUGCACACAGGGAUGUUGGAAUUCAUGGUGUAGCGGUGAGAUGCUUAGAUAUCAUGAAGAACUCCGAUCGCGAAGGCAUAUGUCCGGAGUGCAACUGACGCUGAGGCUCGAAAGUGUGGGUAUCAAACCAGG
rnacentral:rRNA from 1 species